GAGUUCAUCAUGUAAGAUGAUGAUGAGUGGUGUAAUUCUUCUUGUGUGUUUGGUGCAAACGCUAAGUAUAGAUAGGAAUGCCAUUUGUUGUUUGACAUAUUACGAUUCCAGGUGGACUAUUUCUCAUACAGCUCCUACUGUGGGUUGUCAGUCAGAAAAAUCUAAUCGAACUCACCACUUCUGAGUUUGCCGUAUUGCUUGUGCCUAACAACAAGCAUACCUAUAUAUAAUUUACCUUACUCACAUAUCACCAUCACCAGUGAACAACACAUGUUGGAUGUCUAUGUGGUUAGCAUGUCUGACUGUCAUAGUUAAAGUCGCAGGAUCGAUACCCCAUUGCAACAUUGUGUAUAGGUUCCGAUCGUCAGUUCAAUUGGUAAUUUAAGUUAACAAAUCAUUUGUUUACAAUUCUUCGGAAGAAAUAGGAAUAGUAUAAUUCAGUCUUUAGUAAUGGAUCUCACCAGGUACUUUAGGUAGAGUAUAAUUUCAUUUGGAAUUAUAUUGUUAAAACAUGUGAAAAAAUGCUUCGCACCUUGACGAGUUUGCUGUAUCAAUGUCAUUACAUCGUUUUGGAAUUUAAUUUGCCCUUAACGUAUAAGUCAGAUGGAUUUCAAAUUUAAUCAAUUGAAUGGAUUGAUACGGAAGAUUUCAAGACAGGAUUGAAAGAAUUAAACAUUUAAGUGUGCAUGUCAAAUAUUUUGUAUUAUAGCUGUGAUUCAAUC